UACGUAGGUGGCAAGCGUUGUCCGGAUUUACUGGGCGUAAAGAGCGCGCAGGCGGUCGUUCAAGUCGCGUGUGAAAGCCCCCGGCUCAACUGGGGAGGGUCACGCGAUACUGAUCGACUCGAAGGCAGGAGAGGGAAGUGGAAUUCCCGGUGUAGUGGUGAAAUGCGUAGAUAUCGGGAGGAACACCAGUGGCGAAGGCGGCUUACUGGUCCGGUUCUGACGCUGAGGCGCGAAAGCGUGGGGAGCAAACAGG
rnacentral:rRNA from 1 species